rnacentral:rRNA from 1 species
AAUCAACGCUGGCGGCGUGCCUCAGACAUGCAAGUCGAACGCGAAAGGGAACUUCGGUUCCUCAGUAGAGUGGCGUCCGGGUGAGUAACACGUAGGUAAUCUGCCUUUGGGUGGGGAAUAACAGUCGGAAACGACUGCUAAUACCGCAUAAUGCAGCGGCUCGACAUCGAGACAGUUGUUAAAGCGGGGGAGUCGCAAGACCUCGCGCCUAAAGAGGAGCCUGCGGCAGAUUAGCUUGAUGGUAGGGUAAUGGCCUACCAUGGCCGCGAUCUGUAGCCGGCCUGAGGAGGGCGGGUCGGCCACACUGACACUGAUACACGGGUCAGACUCCGUACGGGA